AAGAAUAAAGAACAAGAGAAGAAACAUUCUAACGACAAGAUUACGAAGAAAUAUGAAGAAGGUAGAAAGAAGAAAGCAAUGUCGAAAGAAAAGAAUAAAGAACAAGAGAAGAAACAGUCUAACGAAAAAAUUACGAAGAAAAAUGAAGAAGAUAGAAAGAAGAAAGCAAUGUCUAAAGAAAAGAAUAAAGAACAAGAGAAGAAACAAUCUAACGACAAGAUUACGAAGAAAUAUGAGGAAGGUAGAAAGAAGAAAGCAAUGUCUAAAGAAAAGAAUAAAGAACAAGAGAAGAAACAGUCUAACGAAAAAAUUACGAAGAAAAAUGAGGAAGAUAGAAAGAAGAAAGCAAUGUCGAAAGAAAAUAAAUCGAAAACAAAGGGAGAAAAUAAGAAACCAAAAGAAAAUGAAGACAAGAAGAAAGAGUCUAAAGAGGAUAACUCAAAGCAAGGAGGAGUUCAAGCAACAACUCAAAUAGAAGGUGGAGAAGGUAAGAAUGAAAUGAAAACAGAUGCUCAAGUAAAAAGGGAAGAGUCUUUAAAAGAUAAGAAAGGAGACAAUAAAGAAGAUCAUGACGAAAAAGUGGAUAAAGAAAACGAUGAACAUUAUAAAAAGAAAACUGGAAAGAUCAUAAAAGAUAAGGAUGCAUCAGACAAAGAGAUAGAAGAUACAAAGUCAGAAGAAAAGCACAAAGAUAAGAAAGAAGCCUCGAUGAAAAAGAAUGAAGGGGUUCAAGAAGCCAAUGUCACAUCAAAUAUCAGCGGGAAGAAAGAUCAAAAUGAGUCUACUCAUGAUACAUCUAAAGAUAUUAAUAAGAAUGAUGAAUUCUUAAGGAAGCAAAAACAAGUUGAUGAGGGUCACGUAAAUAUUGGAGACUCGGAUAAGAAGGCAUCAGAAAAAAAGAUAGAUGAUACAAAGUCAAAAGAAAAACACAAAGAUAAGGAAGAAGCCUCGAUGAAAAAGAGUGAAGGAGUUCAAGAAGCCAAUACUACAUCAAAUAUCAGCGGGAAGAAAGAUCAAAAUGAGUCUACUGAUGAUACAUCUAAAAAUAUUAAUAAGAAUGACGAGACCUUAAAGAAGCAAAAACAAGUUGAUGAGGGUCAAGUAAAUAUUGGAGACUCGGAUAAGAACACGAAAGGGGAAACCAAAGAAAAUAAUGGAGAUUUAGUGAACGGUACAAGUAUAGAGGUUAGCGGAGGAAGCAAAGAGUCCGAAGAUGGUAAAAACAAUGAAACUAAUCAAACUAAGAAUAACUCCAUGAAGGAAGUUUCCAGUGACGGUAAAAAGGUGGAAACCAAAGGAGGUAAAGAAGGUUCUAUAGAGGAAAGCUCCAAAGAUAAUAUUGGAGGCAAGGAAGAAAAUUCCAAAGAUGAUAAGAAAGUUGAACAUAACGAAGCUAAAAGAGAUUUCAAGGAAGGAGGUUCCAAAGAUGGUAACGCAACUAAAAUCAAUGAAGGUUAUAAAGAAGAUUCCAAAAAUAAAGAUUCUAAAGAAAGUUCUGAAGAGGAAAGUCUCAAAGAUGCUAAGAUAGUUGAGACAAGUGGAAGCAAGAAUCGCACGGAAAAAGGUUCUAAAGAUGAUAACACAACGAACAUCAAUGGAGGCAAAAACGAUUUGAAAGAUGGUAAAUUAGUUGAAACUAGUAAAGGUACAAAUUCCACAAAUGAA
rnacentral:lncRNA from 1 species